ensembl:lncRNA
CUUGUGUAAUCAACAUGAGAGCAAAAACAACCAGUGUUCUCAGCUUUUGAGGUUUCAAAGGUGAUACUUUUCUUGUCCCCUGAUGAACCUCAGAUAAACCUCAUCUCAGUUUUAGGAGAUUUGGGAAGACCUUUGAAGACCUUUCUGGGACUCCUAAAUGCUGUUYGGUUCCAGUCAUGGCUUAUUGCUGGUGAUUCAUUCUUUGGGGAGCCAUGUAUUCACUACUUUACAGAUGUGGAUCCUGGCACAAUUCUGCAAAACAGCUAAGUGUUUCCACAGCUGCAUCUUGCACUGCUGCAGCGGAAGAGGGGCUGACUGCUGCACUCCCAGGCUCGCAGGAAAGGAUUUCUGGCCAAAUCAUACCACGGGCAGAAACACACCCCGGCUAAAUUUGCUGCUUCUGAGGAGUGGGUUGCAAAAACUGCCUGGAGUCACGCAAGUGAUGCAAAGGCAAAGGCAGGAAGCCGAGCUUGUCUUAGGAUCCUUACUUAUCAGAAAAAAAAAAUAAAUAUAAAAAGAAUUUUAAUGCAAUAGAAAAGAUUUAAAUUUUGCAGCAAAAGAAGAAAAUUCACACAGGAAGGUCCAAGUUCAAAUGAAUUUAAAUCUGAUCAUGAAAGACUGAUGGAGGGCUUCUAGUCAGCAAAGCAGUUCAUUACCUGACUAUUUAUAGCAUGCCAUUAGCAAAGGUGAUCCAAAUGAAAUAGUCCACCAUUUUGUUUUCAUGUUCGGUUUGACAGCAGUCACUGGAAAUUACCCUCACAGGUUUGAUAGGAUUCCCGUGGCUAGCAAGAGCGGGAACAAUUCAAUAUUAUAAAGUAUUUAUAAGUCCCUAAGGCAUAUUUAUAGAUGUCCUUGGCAACAUCAAUUUCCAGCCUGUUAAUAGCUUUAAAAGCAGAACUGUAGACCUUUUCUAGUCACCAAAAGGCAGCAAACGCUGACAGACAAGUAGUGAGUAGGCAGAUGYCUCUCUGCCCACCUCUGAUAACAAUCAAGUCACUGUAUUGUGCAUUAGCUUCAGGGAAUGGAUUAGCCCUUUUGGCAGCCCACUAUAAAGCACUUUGCAGUAAUCUCAUUUUGAGAUCUCAAAUGCAUGAAUCAUCCAGGUCAAGUAUAAAUCGUGCUUUGAGGGCCAGAUUCUUAUCUUGCUUACGCUGCAAUGAAUAGAGAGCAAUUGCAUUAAAACCAAUGGCGUUAUACAGCAUGAUAAAAUCAGUAUGUGGGUAAUCAGAAUUGGGCCCUAAGGGUAAAAACUGGCAUGCUAGUAAAAGUUAGCCGAGGGAAGAUGUAUGGGUUGCUAUAUAUAACAGUAAAGAAUCAACUACUUUCUCCUAACACUGGAGCUUCCUGACUUCUUAACACUGGAGCUUUCUUCUAACACUGGAGCUAACAAGGAGCUUUCUUACAAUGAAGAAAUGGAGUGGUCCAAAUCCAACCGAAUAUUUAAGCUCCUAACUGAUCAGAUUCCUAGUUAUUCAUUGAAUUCGCUGGACCUGCUCAUUGACUAAGUUAUAACCGUUUCCCACAUGGCUGGAUAGGCAGGCAGGCUUGAACAUUUGCACCCAUGCAUGCUCCCAUCACACAGCUGUACGUCCAUCUGGCUUGGCGUGAGCUCACUCCUGGCCUCGAGGUGACCCCGCUUGUUGGGUACAUCGAAGAGACAGUGGAGCUGGGAAAAGAUGGUGGACGAUGGGCUACUAGAUGACUUUAUAUAACCCUUGUCCUGUUCUCACUCACAUCCAAAGGACUCGGGGGGAAAAGAGGGCUAAACUGACUGGCUGCUGGGGGAGCUGUUUGUGGGGGUCACAUCAGCCUUGUAGGCAGUACCUUUGGGUUUUCCCAGUUCGAUCAGUUCUGAGACUACUGACUUCAGGGUGAGUGAGCUGCAGUCUGUGUCCUCAGAACAAGGCAUACAUUUUUCAGUUUCAUAUAAUUUAAACAYGGUAUGUAGCACAGAGACAUAUUCCUCAGGCAAGAGUACCUAGGUGUGAAAGACCUAAACACUUAAGCUUCCUCAAACCUACUCUUAUUAAUAGCUGGCAGUGCACAUGUUUAUAAGGUUUUUUGGGGGUUUUUUUUGUUCUUUUUUUUUUGAGGCAGCUGAUCUUGCAGCUUUUUUCCUGCCUCAUCCCCACCUUUCCCUUUAAAUUGUUUAUAUUUUUCAAAUUUUUAGGUUCCUGCUGAGCAGUGUAGAUUUAUUCUGCUGGUGGAGGGAGCAAGGACUGGGCCCGGGGCUAAUGCAAGAAUUUGCUGAAGAGUUGCACACAGCUUUUCCUUUGCAAACUGCUCAUUCAACCAGUUCACUCUUUCCUGAAGGUUUGGUUUGGAAAUGAUGUGCUUAAAGCUGUCUGGACCUCGACAGCUUCAAAUGCAGAGCACGCAAGCUGUGUCCAGGAAUCUGAAAUGGGACAAGAGGCUUCAUUAGCCGAUGACCUCUGAUAAAAGAAAACUGGGCUCAAAGGAACUUGCAGGGAUCAGGUAGUCCAUGCCUUACCUUGCAGCAAGCUUAGCUCUACCUAGAUCACUACUGACAAAUGUUAAUCUACCCUCUUCUUAAAAAUCUCCUCUGGGGCAGAUUGUCCUGCCUGCUGAAGCAACCUAUUCUGCUAUUUAUUUGUCCUUAGUCACCUACUGAUUUGUAAUAACUCUUAGAAUUUGGACUGGCCUGAAUGGAGAAUUCCCAGCUUCGUUAUUCUAUUGCCAACAAAGAUGGUUUUGGAGUAUUGAGCACUGGAGUAUACACCUUUGAAGUUUUAUGGAGCGGGGAAGACCAUAACUCUUGCUUCAAGUUUCAAGCAUGUUCUCUGAUGUUUUUUGAAGCAAAAURAAGAGGGUCCUUCAGUGAUCCUGAGCUCAAGCUGCUUGCAAGGCAAGCUUAUGGAAGCUGAAAUUUGUGCAACCACAAGUCAAGCUCAGACUUCUAGCACUGUGAAGCAUCUGGCUGCACAGUGGGGAAUCUGUCAGCCUUGUGAACUGGAUCUCCUAUGCUCUGCCACAGGCAGUGCAGGCUGGGUGGUGGAAGGGCAGGCACAUUUCCCUUGGAGGGUUAAACUAAACUAGUGUGUCCCUGCUAAAUAUGCRAAUUAUUUAACUGGUGCAUUCUGGUAGGAAAAGAAAAAGUCCAAUUGAAAAUUAUUAAUAAACCUUUCAGAAAAACACCCUCCCA